GAUGAACGCUAGCGGGAGGCCUAACACAUGCAAGCCGAGCGGGAUUUGUUGGUUAGCUUGCUAACUGAUAAUGAGAGCGGCGUACGGGUGCGGAACAUGUGUGCAAUCUGCCCUUAUCAAGGGGAUAGCCCAGAGAAAUCUGGAUUAAUACCCUAUAACAUAUGGGAUGGCAUCAUUUCAUAUUAAAAGCUACGGCGGAUAAGGAUGAGCACGCACAAGAUUAGCUAGUUGGUAAGGUAACGGCUUACCAAGGCGACGAUCUUUAGGGGGCCUGAGAGGGUGAUCCCCCACACUGGGACUGAGACACGGCCCAGACUCCUACGGGAGGCAGCAGUGAGGAAUAUUGGACAAUGGGUGGAAGCCUGAUCCAGCCAUCCCGCGUGCAGGACGACUGCCCUAUGGGUUGUAAACUGCUUUUAUAUAGGGAUAAACCUACUCUCGUGAGAGUAGCUGAAGGUACUAUAUGAAUAAGCACCGGCUAACUCCGUGCCAGCAGCCGCGGUAGUACGGAGGGUGCAAGCGUUAUCCGGAUUUAUUGGGUUUAAAGGGUCCGUAGGUGGGCUGAUAAGUCAGCGGUGAAAUCCUGCAGCUUAACUGUAGAACUGCCGUUGAUACUGUUAGUCUUGAGUGUAUUUGAAGUGGCUGGAAUAAGUAGUGUAGCGGUGAAAUGCAUAGAUAUUACUUAGAACACCAAUUGCGAAGGCAGGUCACUAAGAUACAACUGACGCUGAGGCUCGAAAGCGUGGGGAGCAAACAGGAUUAGAUACCCUGGUAGUCCACGCCGUAAACGAUGAGUGCUAGGUGUUAGACCCUUUCCGGGGUUUAGUGCCGUAGCUAACGCAUUAAGCACUCCGCCUGGGGAGUACGACCGCAAGGUUGAAACUCAAAGGAAUUGACGGGGGCCCGCACAAACGGUGGAGCAUGUGGUUUAAUUCGAAGCAACGCGAAGAACCUUACCAGGUCUUGACAUCCCUCUGACCGCUCUAGAGAUAGAGUUUUCCUUCGGGACAGAGGUGACAGGUGGUGCAUGGUUGUCGUCAGCUCGUGUCGUGAGAUGUUGGGUUAAGUCCCGCAACGAGCGCAACCCCUAUUGUUAGUUGCCAUCAUUGAGUUGGGCACUCUAGCGAGACUGCCGGUAAUAAACCGGAGGAAGGUGGGGAUGACGUCAAAUCAUCAUGCCCCUUAUGACCUGGGCUACACACGUGCUACAAUGGCUGGUACAACGAGUCGCAAGCCGGUGACGGCAAGCUAAUCUCUGAAAGCCAGUCUCAGUUCGGAUUGUAGGCUGCAACUCGCCUACAUGAAGUCGGAAUCGCUAGUAAUCGCGGAUCAGCACGCCGCGGUGAAUACGUUCCCGGGCCU
rnacentral:rRNA from 1 species